AUUGAACGCUGGCGGCAGGCCUAACACAUGCAAGUCGAGCGAGCGGCGGACGGGUGAGUAAUGUAUGGGGACUGCCCGAUAGAGGGGGAUAACAACUGGAAACGGUAGCUAAUACCGCAUACUAUCGGAUAACCCAUAUGGGAUUAGCUAGUGGGUGGGGUAAUGGCGAACCUAGGCGACGCUACCUAGCUGGUCUGAGAGGAUGAUCAGCCACACUGGGACUGAGACACGGCCCAGACUCCUACGGAGGCAGCAGUGGGGAAUUUUGCACAAUGGGCGCAAGCCUGAUGCAGCAAUGCCGCGUGUAUGAAGAAGGCCCUAGGGUUGUAAAGUACUUUCAGUCGGGAGGCGUUACCGACAGAGAAAGCACCGGCUAACUCCGUGCCAGCAGCCGCGGUAAUAC
rnacentral:rRNA from 1 species